rnacentral:lncRNA from 1 species
GUUGGCAACUGCUUUCGUGCUUUCUCUACUGAACUUAAAGUUUUUGGAAAUAAACCACUUUCCUCCCUUUGGGAGCUUCAGAAAAGCCUAUCGCCGGCGAUGACACUAAAGCUGACAACAAUGGGACCAUGAAAUCUAGGCUGCAACAACUACCACCUUCAGUUGCAGGGGCCUAGGGCCGAACAUCUGCCCGGGUC